GUUUGACAUGCUUACAGGCUCGUACUGAUUUUAUUUUCUUUUUUUAUUUACCUACUUUGCUCAAUUUGUGAUUUGAUGACAUUUAAAUUUAUGACGUUUAUUUGACUAUUGUUACAACUUGGGGAGCUGAAUACUAAUUGAAUUGGUGAAUUUGCAAACUCAGGAUUUGUCUUUUAAACAUCUACCGGUGAAGACCUUCUUCAGCCUGUCAGAUCCCUAUGCGGCUGCCUGAUGAUGCAGACCAAAAAACAGUCAUGCAAAUUGCACCUGAUGUGACUGUACACAAGAAUUGGAAGGUUAUGGAGCUUUCUGAACUUCUCAUGAACAAAAUUAUUCAACAAAACGGGUCACGGGGAGUCUGUGCCUAUCUCAGGCGUCAUUCGGACAUCAAGGCA